UUUUUUUUUUGACAUCAGGAAUCAACUAUCUUCCAAUAUAUAAAAAGCUGUCGACUAUCUUUAGUUACAAAACAUACAAAGUCCAAUAAAUAGAACUUAUGUCGUUUGAAAACAGUAAUAUUGAUACUAUACUUUCAAUAAUAUUAUUUUUCACUAACAAAAUUAAUGGAAAUGAACUAUAUAUGUGGUCAGUAGUUUAAUUAAUC
rnacentral:lncRNA from 1 species